ACGGUAACAGGAAGAAGCUGCUUCUUUGCUGACGAGUGGCGGACGGGUGAGUAAUGUCUGGGAAACUGCCUGAUGGAGGGGGAUAACUACUGGAAACGGUAGCUAAUACCGCAUAACGUCGCAAGACCAAAGAGGGGGACCUUCGGGCCUCUUGCCAUCGGAUGUGCCCAGAUGGGAUUAGCUAGUAGGUGGGGUAACGGCUCACCUAGGCGACGAUCCCUAGCUGGUCUGAGAGGAUGACCAGCCACACUGGAACUGAGACACGGUCCAGACUCCUACGGGAGGCAGCAGUGGGGAAUAUUGCACAAUGGGCGCAAGCCUGAUGCAGCCAUGCCGCGUGUAUGAAGAAGGCCUUCGGGUUGUAAAGUACUUUCAGCGGGGAGGAAGGGAGUAAAGUUAAUACCUUUGCUCAUUGACGUUACCCGCAGAAGAAGCACCGGCUAACUCCGUGCCAGCAGCCGCGGUAAUACGGAGGGUGCAAGCGUUAAUCGGAAUUACUGGGCGUAAAGCGCACGCAGGCGGUUUGUUAAGUCAGAUGUGAAAUCCCCGGGCUCAACCUGGGAACUGCAUCUGAUACUGGCAAGCUUGAGACUCGUAGAGGGGGGUAGAAUUCCAGGUGUAGCGGUGAAAUGCGUAGAGAUCUGGAGGAAUACCGGUGGCGAAGGCGGCCCCCUGGACGAAGACUGACGCUCAGGUGCGAAAGCGUGGGGAGCAAACAGGAUU
rnacentral:rRNA from 1 species